rnacentral:rRNA from 1 species
AUGCACGCUGGCGGCGUGCCUCAUACAUGCAAGUCGAGCGAACAGACGAGGAGCUUGCUCCUCUGACGUUAGCGGCGGACGGGUGAGUAACACGUGGAUAACCUACCUAUAAGACUGGGAUAACUUCGGGAAACCGGAGCUAAUACCGGAUAAUAUAUUGAACCGCAUGGUUCAAUAGUGAAAGACGGUUUUGCUGUCACUUAUAGAUGGAUCCGCGCCGCAUUAGCUAGUUGGUAAGGUAACGGCUUACCAAGGCAACGAUGCGUAGCCGACCUGAGAGGGUGAUCGGCCACACUGGAACUGAGACACGGUCCAGACUCCUACGGGAGGCAGCAGUAGGGAAUCUUCCGCAAUGGCGAAAGCCUGACGGAGCAACGCCGCGUGAGUGAUGAAGGUCUUCGGAUCGUAAAACUCUGUUAUUAGGGAAGAACAAAUGUGUAAGUAACUAUGCACGUCUUGACGGUACCUAAUCAGAAAGCCACGGCUAACUACGUG